rnacentral:RNase_P_RNA from 1 species
ACAGGCCGGUGGACGGUCGCAGGGCAUCGCGUGCGAUGCCGUGAGGAACGUCCGGGCACCACAGGGCAGGAUGGUGGGUAACGCCCACUCGGGGUAACCCGCAGGACAGUGCCACAGAAAGCAGACCGCCCGCACGGUGGGUGCGUGCAUCCACCGGCGCGGGUAAGGGUGAAAGGGUGGUGUAAGAGACCACCAGCGGUCCGGGUGACCGGGCCGGCUCGGUAAACCCCAUCCGGUGCAAGGCCGAACAGGAUGCGCUCGCAGGGCUGCCCGCCCGAGCAUCCGGGUUGGCCGCUCGAGCCCGUCGGCAACGGCGGGCCUAGAUGGAUGGCCGUCACCGUGGUCCGGGCAACCGGUCACGGCACAGAACCCGGCGUACAACCGGCCUGUCCCA